AGAGAAUAAUGGAGCCGCAUGGAAUCCAUCGCAGGAGGUAGAGCAGGAUCGUGACCGUUGCUGUGCCGCGCCGGGGAGUGCAGACCCGUCGGUUGAAGUUUGGCUGGAGUGUCUGGUGGUUAGUUAUCCACUUGAGGGGAGCCUGAAGCCUGGCCCAAGUAAGAGUCCGGACGAAGUCUUCCUUUAGCCAAGGUCGGGGAUGAGGCCCGACUCCCAUAGGGGUCCGGGCGGAGUUUAUCUGCAAUCAAAGUCGGGACAAAGUCCGACUCCCGUA
rnacentral:lncRNA from 1 species